AUCGUCAGGUAUAAUGAGGGAUA
rnacentral:miRNA from 1 species